rnacentral:rRNA from 1 species
GUGAACGCUGGCGGUAGGCCUAACCCAUGCCAGUCGAACGGCAGCACAGUAAGAGCUUGCUCUUACGGGUGGCGAGUGGCGGACGGGUGAGGAAUACAUCGGAAUCUACUUUUUCGUGGGGGAUAACGUAGGGAAACUUACGCUAAUACCGCAUACGACCUACGGGUGAAAGCAGGGGAUCUUCGGACCUUGCGCGAUUGAAUGAGCCGAUGUCGGAUUAGCCAGUUGGCGGGGUAAAGGCCCACCAAGGCGACGAUCCGUAGCUGGUCUGAGAGGAUGAUCAGCCACACUGGAACUGAGACACGGUCCAGACUCCUACGGGAGGCAGCAGUGGGGAAUAUUGGACAAUGGGCGCAAGCCUGAUCCAGCCAUACCGCGUGGGUGAAGAAGGCCUUCGGGUUGUAAAGCCCUUUUGUUGGGAAAGAAAAGCAGCAGGUUAAUACCCCGCUGUUCUGACGGUACCCAAAGAAUAAGCACCGGCUAACUUCGUG